rnacentral:rRNA from 1 species
AGGCUGAAACUCGCCUACAUGAAGCUGGAAUUGCUAGUAAUCACAGGUCAGCAUACUGUGGUGAAUACGUUCCCGGGCCUUGUACACACCGCCCGUCACACCAUGAGAGUUGAGAAUACCCGAAGCCCAUGUCAAAGUGGUCGAAGGUAGGCUUGAUGAUUGGGGUGAAGUCGUAACAAGGUAGC